rnacentral:tRNA from 1 species
UUGGGCGUAGCUUAGUUGGUAGAGCGCUCGGCUGUUAACCGGGAUGUGCAGGUUCGAAUCCUGCCGCCCGAGCCA